ACGGAGGAACCGAAAAUCCGGAAAAGAGUAGGGG
rfam:Bacteroides sp. CAG:144 genomic scaffold, scf34